GGCAACGUAGCCAAGUGGUAAGGCAUGGGUCUGCAAAACCCUUAUACGCGGGUUCGAUUCCCGCCGUUGCCUCCC
rnacentral:tRNA from 3 species